UCUACAUCCUUCUUAAUACUUGGAAUGGAGAGUCUUCCUAAUAAAGAGAGAGAGAGAGAAACACAAACAAGGGGAAAGGCAGGCUCCCUGCUGAACAAGGAGCCCAACGUGGGACUUGAUCCGAGGACCCCAAGAUCAUGACCUGAGUUGAAGGCAGAUGCUUAACCGACUGAACCACCCAGGCAUCCC
rnacentral:lncRNA from 1 species